CCUACGGGUGGCAGCAGUGGGGAAUAUUGGACAAUGGGUGCAACCCUGAUCCAGCCAUGCCGCGUGUGUGAAGAAGGCCCUCGGGUUGUAAAGCACUUUCAGUGAGGAAGAACGCCUGGUGGUUAAUACCCAUCAGGAAAGACAUCACUCACAGAAGAAGCACCGGCUAACUCCGUGCCAGCAGCCGCGGUAAUACGGAGGGUGCGAGCGUUAAUCGGAAUUACUGGGCGUAAAGCGCGCGUAGGUGGCUUGAUAAGCCGGUUGUGAAAGCCCCGGGCUCAACCUGGGAACGGCAUCCGGAACUGUCAAGCUAGAGUGCAGGAGAGGAAGGUAGAAUUCCCGGUGUAGCGGUGAAAUGCGUAGAGAUCGGGAGGAAUACCAGUGGCGAAGGCGGCCUUCUGGACUGACACUGACACUGAGGUGCGAAAGCGUGGGUAGCAAACAGGAUUAGAUACCCUAGUAGUC
rnacentral:rRNA from 1 species